rfam:Oryza barthii chromosome 3, whole genome shotgun sequence.
AAUAAGUGCAGUUUUAGCACUAUUCAUGUUCAACGUUUGACCGUUCGUCUUAUUUGAAAAAAGAUUAUGAUUAGUAUUUUUUAUUGUUAUUAGAUAAUAAAACAUGAAUAGUACUUUAUGUGUGACUAAUUUUUUUAAUAUUUUUCAUAAAUUUUUUAAAUAAGAUAGAUGGUCAAAGCGCUAAACACGGAUAUUUAUGGCUGCACUUAUU